UGAGCUGCUUAAUCCCAUCUGUUGGAGGAGAGCUGAGCACAGCCCUGACUCAUAAUAAGUGCUCAGCACACAGGCUUACGACGUCUCUUCUUACAAAGAGCUGUGCCCGGGUCCCAGCAGCCACAGAACAGGCUGGUGUCUGACCAACCCACCGACGGCGGAUGCUUCAGUGGGUCUGACCAGCACGCUGAUCCAGACGCUCGCCUAAAGCUUCCAUUCUGCCCCUGCAUUUCUGGGUGUUUUCUAACCAUAAAGAAGCUAGGAAUUGAGAUCAGCUGAGGUUAUCAGCCCUGGGAAUGUGAAUACUACUUGAGAAUGGGUGAUACUUCUCCACGGAAAUCAUUCUGCGGUCUGUCUUUGCCAUACAUAUCACAUGCAGUAAAAUGGAGAACAGCUUUCCACUUUAAACGUCCUUGAAUGUCUGAGCUGAGACUCUAUUAGCUUUUACCACCGAAAGGAGCAAAAGUCUUCCUACGAACCCCAGUGCAUGGAAGUGAGGCCGGGAACCGUGCUCCUCUCUGAGCUUUCUGGAAUUGCAGCUGGGAGUUCCCGGGGUCCCAGAGCGACCGUUCCAACAACCUUACAACAGGAUGUAAGAGUCCACUGCCCAGUAACUCCAGCCUGCCUCCCACAUGGAACGAAGUUGGAGCUUUUCAUAACUUUAACAGAAACUGGGAUGCGGAGUGAAGUUCUCCCUGAAACCUGAAAUGGGCAGCUGGGGUUCAGUCUGAGCACCCUCGGAGGCCAGCAGGGAGGCGUAUCUCGCGGAGGACCCGCUGCAGACCUGGGCACCUGGCACACAUAGUCCCUGCAAGCCAGGAUCAUGCUCUGUGUACACGUGGCAGAGAUGCACUAGAGACGACGGCUGGCCGUCGGAACGAAGAGCUCCAUGUGAUUCCCACGGGUCCCAUGCUGUUACUCAGCCCCUGGAUGUCUGCCUGACCACAUCUCUCUAGGACGGAAUCAGGACCAAGUGGGGAGGAUGGAUGGAUGAGUCCAGGGACACGAGCGGGCGCGAAAGGAGGACAAAGGUGCACAUGGAUGUGACUGGUGAGCGCUCUGCUUGCCUGGUGGGAGCUUCUGGGUGGAGAGGAAGACACUGCCCUGCAGCCAUCCUGCAGCCCCAUUUGUCUGCUGACCAAAUGGGUGGAGAGUCUGAGGGUCCUUCAAGCAGACUGACACACACUACAUGGUGGAAUCUGGUGGACCUGAGUUUGAAUUCCAGCUCUGCCCCCCACUUACUGAGUGACCUUGGGCAAGACUUAGUUUCUGCAUCUGUAAAAUGGGAUUAAUAAUCUCCCCCCCCCCCCAAGUUUGUUGUGAAGGUAAAAUGAGAAAAAAAACAUGUAGGGUACUUGGCAUAUAGUAAGUGCUCAGUAAAUGAAAACAGUAGCCAACAUUGAUUGAAGGAUUACUCUGCUCCUGGUACUUUCGCCAGGUGCCAGGAUCCGGGAUAACAAAGACUGACUUGGUUUCUGCCUCUAGAACUGACGGUCUAAAGAACUAGGGCUGGCUUUCAAACUGUACUAAAUUCUUGGGUAGAAAUAUGAACACAUCCUUUACUGGCUGAGGUGAACGAAUUCCUGUUUUCUGCUCUCUUUGAUGAUAUUUUUAUAAAGAUAAAUGUUUCCUACUAUCAUCAGCAUUAUCACCAUCACCACCAUCACUACCACCUCCACCACCAUUACUACCAUCAUCAUUAUCAUCACCAUCAUCUUCACCAUCAUCUUCACCAGCACCAUCACCACCAUUACGAUUAUCUUCAUCAUCAUCUUCAAGCACAUUAUUAAGUAGGUACUACAUACCAGGACCUUGGCUUAGCCCUUUGCAUGGAUUAUCUCAUUGACUUUCAAGUAAAGCACACUUUGUAAGCAGCAACCUUACUGCUCAAAGCAUGGGCCAGCAGCCUGUGUACAACCUGGGAGCUUGUCAGAAACACAAAAUCUCAGGUCCCACCCUAGUCCUACUGAUUCAGAAUCUGCAUUUUAACAAUAUCCCUAGUAAUGUGCAGGCAAGUUCAAGUUUGAGAAGCACUGGUUCUUAGUGGCAAUUAUCUCUUGGCAAAAAGCGACUGGUUUGGAGAGAGUCUCCCAUCAUGCCUUCAGGCCCUUUCACUCUUCCUUCCCAGGGACCCCACUGACCAAUCCCACUGACAACCUCACAAAGCUAAGAAAACAAAGGGGCACAACAACAAAAAUCACAAUACUUUUACGAGGCUGAAAGAGAGUUGGAAGCAGGGAGGAGGGUGAGAGGAAGAGUCCUGGACAGAGGGCUGGCAGCCCGGCAGAGCCCCACCCGUCACACUUCUCUAAGGCCUGAGGUCCCUGGGGGAGGCGUGGGAGGGCGCCUUCCUGUGAUGACACCCCUGCGUGAGGGCCUAUGGUCUGGGAAGGGAGGAGCUUCCACAAGCCAGGAGAGGAAAAGCGGGCUGAGGACCACCCCAGACUCUCCCAGCACCCCCCUUGAAAGGCAGACGAAAGAUGGACGAUUUGGGGCAGCCUGCCAAUGGACAACUUGGGACCCCUGCUUGCCCCAACUCUGCCCAGGUCCUGUUGGCAAAGGCAAAUGAACGCUGACUGAAAGUUUACAAAGUCUUAAGAAUGCCCCAGUAUACUGCCAGCAAACAAUUAGCAUGAAUGAAAGCCUGACACUUAGAACGUGAGACUUUUUGCUCCAUUAAAUAUGCAACCUAAGAGUUUUCCUCCAUUCAACUUCUAUUAAAUACAAGAUUCCAAGAGAUCAUUUCAUUCAAGCCCAAGGACCAGGCAGCUGAAGGAACAGAAGCAAAACAGAUUUCCGAAAAGUAACUUCAAAUGGAUGAUGUUGGGCUCAGAUAGAAGGAUUUAAUUUUUAUAAAACCCUAAGAUGGUUUAGUCAUAUUUUUUAAACACAUGUUUUUUAGAAAAACUUAAAUGGAAAACAUCCUCCUCUUGAGUCUAUUUCAUACUAGAAUGAAACCAGAUAAUUAGAAAUCAUGUUUCUGGUAGGGUAUUUUUAUACUCGAGAAAUGCGGGACAAUUUCAUACUAAAUGAAAUACCUAGUUACACAA